GGGUUGUGAGGUUAAGCGACUAAGCGUACACGGUGGAUGCCCUGGCAGUCAGAGGCGAUGAAGGACGUGCUAAUCUGCGAUAAGCGCCGGUAAGGUGAUAUGAACCGUUAUAACCGGCGAUUUCCGAAUGGGGAAACCCAGUGUGACUCGUCACACUAUCAUUAACUGAAUCCAUAGGUUAAUGAGGCGAACCGGGGGAACUGAAACAUCUAAGUACCCCGAGGAAAAGAAAUCAACCGAGAUUCCCCCAGUAGCGGCGAGCGAACGGGGAGGAGCCCAGAGCCUGAAUCAGCAUGUGUGUUAGUGGAAGCGUCUGGAAAGGCGCGCGAUACAGGGUGACAGCCCCGUACACAAAAGCGCAUGUGCUGUGAGCUCGAUGAGUAGGGCGGGACACGUGGUAUCCUGUCUGAAUAUGGGGGGACCAUCCUCCAAGGCUAAAUACUCCUGACUGACCGAUAGUGAACCAGUACCGUGAGGGAAAGGCGAAAAGAACCCCGGCGAGGGGAGUGAAAAAGAACCUGAAACCGUGUACGUACAAGCAGUGGGAGCCCCACCACCAAAGCAUUCUCUGGUGUUGAAGGCCCUGCAAAGCAGCAUCGCGGUGGCGGAGCGUCGUUUGCGACGCCCAACACACAAAACAAGCGGUGAGUGCUUUGGGGUGGGGUGACUGCGUACCUUUUGUAUAAUGGGUCAGCGACUUAUAUUCUGUAGCAAGGUUAACCGAAUAGGGGAGCCGGAGGGAAACCGAGUCUUAAUUGGGCGUUAAGUUGCAGGGUAUAGACCCGAAACCCGGUGAUCUAGCCAUGGGCAGGUUGAAGGUUGGGUAACACUAACUGGAGGACCGAACCGACUAAUGUUGAAAAAUUAGCGGAUGACCUGUGGCUGGGGGUGAAAGGCCAAUCAAACCGGGAGAUAGCUGGUUCUCCCCGAAAGCUAUUUAGGUAGCGCCUCGUGAAUUCAUCUCCGGGGGUAGAGCACUGUUUCGGCUAGGGGGCCAUCCCGGCUUACCAACCCGAUGCAAACUGCGAAUACCGGAGAAUGUUAUCACGGGAGACACACGGCGGGUGCUAACGUCCGUCGUGAAGAGGGAAACAACCCAGACCGCCAGCUAAGGUCCCAAAGUCAUGGUUAAGUGGGAAACGAUGUGGGAAGGCCCAGACAGCCAGGAUGUUGGCUUAGAAGCAGCCAUCAUUUAAAGAAAGCGUAAUAGCUCACUGGUCGAGUCGGCCUGCGCGGAAGAUGUAACGGGGCUAAACCAUGCACCGAAGCUGCGGCAGCGACGCUGAUGCGUUGUUGGGUAGGGGAGCGUUCUGUAAGCCUGCGAAGGUGGCCUGUGAGGGUUGCUGGAGGUAUCAGAAGUGCGAAUGCUGACAUAAGUAACGAUAAAGCGGGUGAAAAGCCCGCUCGCCGGAAGACCAAGGGUUCCUGUCCAACGUUAAUCGGGGCAGGGUGAGUCGACCCCUAAGGCGAGGCCGAAAGGCGUAGUCGAUGGGAAACGGGUUAAUAUUCCCGUACUUGGUGUUACUGCGAAGGGGGGACGGAGAAGGCUAUGUUGGCCGGGCGACGGUUGUCCCGGUUUAAGCGUGUAGGUGUGUGUUCCAGGUAAAUCCGGUUCACUUUAACACUGAGGCGUGAUGACGAGGCACUACGGUGCUGAAGCAACAAAUGCCCUGCUUCCAGGAAAAGCCUCUAAGCAUCAGGUAACAUCAAAUCGUACCCCAAACCGACACAGGUGGUCAGGUAGAGAAUACCAAGGCGCUUGAGAGAACUCGGGUGAAGGAACUAGGCAAAAUGGUGCCGUAACUUCGGGAGAAGGCACGCUGACACGUAGGUGAAGUGAUUUACUCAUGGAGCUGAAGUCAGUCGAAGAUACCAGCUGGCUGCAACUGUUUAUUAAAAACACAGCACUGUGCAAACACGAAAGUGGACGUAUACGGUGUGACGCCUGCCCGGUGCCGGAAGGUUAAUUGAUGGGGUCAGCGCAAGCGAAGCUCCUGAUCGAAGCCCCGGUAAACGGCGGCCGUAACUAUAACGGUCCUAAGGUAGCGAAAUUCCUUGUCGGGUAAGUUCCGACCUGCACGAAUGGCGUAAUGAUGGCCAGGCUGUCUCCACCCGAGACUCAGUGAAAUUGAACUCGCUGUGAAGAUGCAGUGUACCCGCGGCAAGACGGAAAGACCCCGUGAACCUUUACUAUAGCUUGACACUGAACAUUGAGCCUUGAUGUGUAG
rnacentral:rRNA from 1 species